GAUGAACGCUAGCGGCAGGCUUAACACAUGCAAGUCGAACGGUAGAGUAGCAAUACUUGAGAGUGGCGAACGGGUGAGUAAUAUAUCGGAACGUGCCCAGUCGUGGGGGAUAACGUAGAGAAAUUUACGCUAAUACCGCAUACGAUCUAUGGAUGAAAGCGGGGGAUCGCAAGACCUCGCGCGAUUGGAGCGGCCGAUAUCAGAUUAGGUAGUUGGUGAGGUAAAGGCUCACCAAGCCGACGAUCUGUAGCUGGUCUGAGAGGACGACCAGCCACACUGGGACUGAGACACGGCCCAGACUCCUACGGGAGGCAGCAGUGGGGAAUUUUGGACAAUGGGCGAAAGCCUGAUCCAGCAAUGCCGCGU
rnacentral:rRNA from 1 species